UUCUUGUCUGGCGGGAGGGCCAACAAACAGGUCAGGCAUCAAGACCCGGGAGAGAAGCUGCUGCCCCCCAGGCCCCUGCACCCUCCCAGCAGCCCCCCAGGAGCACAGCCAAGGGGAAGGACACGGUGAGAGUCACCCGGGGCCCAGCCCUCCUGCCUCUCCGGUGGAGAACAAGUGUGCCAGGAAUUUAAUCUGCGGUGACGCCUGGUAAGGGACAAUGUUUUGCUGCUGAAAUCUAGACCACCAUGGCAAAGGUGUUCAAAACGGAGGCCCAAGGGCUUUUAACUGUGGCUUCUCGGAGUCAGGCAGUACAAUCCCGGGAAGGCAGACGUGGGACAGUGAAGCCCAGGGUCACUCUCUCACACGCCCAUCCCCUUGAGGAAUAAAAGCUGUCUUAUCCAUGCCAUGCUGGGUCACGGUUGGGCAAAACCAGCCCCACCGAGCCUUGUCUUCCUGGUGCUCCACAUUCUCGCUUUAGCUUUUGCCGUGCCCACGUGAUGUCACGCGUUUUCUAUUUCAGAGAAAGAAGCCAUUGACAGUUGCUUCCUUCAGAGCCAUUCCACCGUCUCCAAGCCCUGCCCAUCUGCAAUUUAUAAGACCCCUGUGUCAACCACCAACUUCCUCAAGUCCCUGACAUUAGUUGCUAGGUGUGGGUGCCAGUCCAUGAAGAUGAUGUUUGGGGAGCAGAGAGCGGCCUGCUCUCGUCCUAUCAGCGUGUGGACUGGGGAACGUGAGUUCUGGCUCGUAGCACUGGUCUACCCUCCUCCCUCACUUCCACCUCUAGAGAGCAAAGGGUGGUUGUUCUGCAGGUUGAGACGGCCGUGGUGUGGCACCUGUUGCACCUGCCGGCUGGCAGACCCAGCAGGCCAAUGGGCGACUCAUACUCCAUCCUCAACCACAGGGCACGGACUCCAUCAACAUUCGCAGAACUGGACAUCUUCACUGCUUCCCUGAGCACGGUUUGCCAAGGGUCCCGCCUUUCUGCAGGAGGUACUGAAGGAAACCGUUCCCAGGGCUGACAGUUUGAGGGUGAGGGCCGUUUGUGACUGAGGAGGAUGACAUGCUACAGGGCAUCAGGCCUCCCGGGGCUCCUGGGCUGUGGCUGCUGCACAGGUGAAGGUGCCUCCCGCCAAGCCCAUUAGUAGAGGGGGACUCACACACCUGAGCUGGAUGCACAAUGACUUGCCCUUGACCCUGGAGACCAGGAGGCUGGGAAGACCUCUGCCUGGGCUAGCAUCUUGCCUUGGAAGUGUCACUGCUGAUGCGUGGGUGCAGUGACAGGCCUCCGACGGAAGGUCUUUGGCUCCCCAUCGCCGUCCCCUAGGGGUGCUUAAACACCUGCCGCACUGCAUGCAGCUCUGAGCAAUCGGAUGCGUCUCAGCGGUGGACUGUUGUGUGCAGCUGAGGGAGGAGCAUCGCUCCCACCGUCAGGGGCGUCCCCGCACAAUCACGCCUGCACAAAGCCGUGGUUCCUGGGCCAGUGCUGGUCCUCUCCACCUAGGCAGCUCCAGGCGUGGUCCGCAGGUGAGCAGCGGCGCCAUCACCUGGGGCUUGUUAGAGAGGCAGGCACUCAGGCCCCACCCAGCUCCUGGAGUCAGAAUCUGCAUUUCAUGGGACGCCUGACAUCUAUUCCAGAGAGACUGGAGGUUCCUACAGGAGAAGACCAGAAGCUGAGACAGGUGAAGCCGAUGUGCAAGGGCCCGAGUCCUGAGAACUGCAGCAGUCCUUGGGAAACCGCAAAGCUCGAUGGUGGCUGCCGGGCAGGCUUUGGGCUGUCACAACCAGGGUGCAGGGUGGGCUGCUAUUGCCAUCUGGUGGGUGGGAGAGACCUGGGAGACCGCAGGACAGUCCCCACAAUGGAGCCAGAGCCAGGCGCACUUGUUGGCCGUGCUGAGGCCUGGAAACUCCGCCCAGAUGAUGCAGGUUUGGCUGAUGGGAUUCCUGGGGCAGGACUCUUCCUCUUAGAGCCGGCUUUGCUCAGCCUGUGACCUUGUUUGACCUCGGCCCCUCAAAAUCCACCUCUUUGAUGACACAUUCAUCUUUGCCUUCUUUACCCCUGAGCCGGGCCCCCUCCUUCCUCCUCGGCUCCUUCGGUCACUGCGGAUCCAGAUGAGAGGGGCUCUGGCCCAGCAAUGGAGACGACGGCAGAGGAGCCCCUGCGGCCUGAUUUCUGUGUCCCCAGAGCCGGACAGAUGGUGUGGGCACGUGGCAGAUCUUAUUUUGCCUCGGGCCCCCAGGAAGAAUAGCACUGAACCUGGGCUUCCUCUGGCUAUUUCUGGAGGCCUGUGUGUGACCCCGAGGCCCCUCUAGGCCAGUGGGAUGCACCUGCCUUCUUCCUACCCAUCUCCCCAUCUCGGCAUCAGGACCCUCUUCCUUCCCAGAGGUAGAACAUUCUCCAACUCGUAGCACUAAAGAAACCGGGCUGUGUUUCAGAGCCCAAGAGAACAGUGCUCCUAAAAUAGGAUGUUAUGUAAGUGCUGUGUUUUGCCACUGCACAAGAAAUUGUUCUAGAUAAAGUUUAUUAAACGUGGCAUGAGAAGGAGGAAUAGAUUUUCACUCGAGGAGCGGUGGAGCUGGGAUGCUGCCAGUAUCAUUUACGGUGUCUGGGGAAAGCCAAGGGAGACACAGACUGGAGCUGCCUCAUCUCUUUUCCAAAAAGCAAAGAAAACUAAAUAUAGCCAAGUGGAAAUGAUAGCACCUUUGAAGGUACUGGGAGGUUUAAGUUAUUCAACUCUCCCAAGCUGAUUCGAGCCCACACGUUCCCUUUAAUCAUCAUUCUGGAAAGUAUGCCUCCCAUUCUACUUGCAAAACUUUCUUCCCCAUGGAAGUACCUUAGAAGGCUUGAUCAAGGUCUAGGCUGACGUGACAUUUUGCAAUAUCCUGCAAUUUACUGUAGAUUUCAAUAAGUAACUUAUUGCACGCAAUUAGUGCCACUCACCUGCAGGGCAAAGAGAGGAAGAACCUCCAGUUCCUCCCCAGGUUAUUCGGGACAAGCCCAGGUGGGCGGCACCUGUGCCAGAGCUAACUCGCGCUGAGGCUUGGUCAUGGCUGUGCAGAUCAAUGACCGGGAAGGAUAAUAGAAGACAUUUCUCCCGCGUUUACUUAUAUAAGCUCGUCGGUUAAUUGGAUUAGGGAGAAAAAGAGGAAGGCGAUGGAGAGACAGGUCUCUUGGGAGACAGGAAAGGGGCUGGCAUUAGCUUCCCAGCCAGGGACCUGUGCGGGACCCCAGGUUAAGGGGGGCAUAAGUAGGGAACUCGGGGCCAAGUUUACACCUAACUGGCUCGCUCCGUCAUUGCCUGGAUAGGAUCUGAGUUCUGUCACCUGCUUUGUCUCUGACCGCUGCGUGUGACUUUGAACGCGUCAACUUAUCUUUGCAGCCUCAGUUUCCCAAGCCGCAGGAAGCUGACAUCUACUGAGAGCCCGUCACGUGUGCAGCAUGUUAGCCACGUGACAGCGUUUGUAUCCCUCCAUCUCCUCCACCCCGCAGCCACACGGGUGGGCUGACUUCAGACUGUGCUGGGGCUCACUAGUCCACCCCACGUCCCCCGCGGCCACCCCACCCCCAGAUGAACACUGGCACUGUCACCCUGACUGCUGUCUGCGCUCAGCCUCCCACGCCCUGUCAUCUCCUCUCCACACAGUGGCCCUGGGUCACGCAGCAUGUCUGCCUGACACCCUCCCAUGGCUUCAUAGCUCCCUGGAAAGAACAGCAGAGGUCCUUCCUUUAUAGGGUCCACACACACCACCUUCCCACUUGCUGCCUCUGCUCCCAGUUCGGAGCCCUUGCUGCUCAUUGAGGGCAUCAGACAGGUUGUGACCCCAUGGCCUUUGCACGUUCCAUGUCUCCUGGCUGGAAUGCUCCUCUUGCCCUUCUGUGCAGUCUCGGUUAAAUUCGCUCUAUUAGAGAGAUUUGCCCCAGGCUCGCUGGUCUCCUUGACUGUUCUCAACCGGCUUUCGUUUUCUCUGGGACACACACGGCGCUACGAUAUAUGCACUUGCUUGAGUGUUUAUUGUCUGAUUCUCCCUGUGAGACGAGAAAUUUCAUAGGGGUAGACAUGGUUCUGUCGCCAGCACAUAGCAGGGCCCAGACUUGCAAGCACAAAACACCGGUGUGAGGAGGGAACCGCAACCCAGGUGUAGGCAGCCGUGCGAUGAUUUACAGAGGAGGGGGCACACUCUGGUUGCUCAGUAAGUCCUCGAGGGUGCACAGCAUGGAGGUGACAUCGUCACACCGUAUUUCCAGAUGUGUCUGAUUCCAAGAACCAGGCUCUGUAAAGCCCAGUGUGUCUGCCUGUUCUGAACAAUUUCAGUGGAGGUCUCCUUUUGGAGCAGAUGGGAAAAGCUUGCAAUCUCCGCCUUCCUGUUGUAGCUGUCUCCUCUGGUGCCUUCCUCUUGGGUCAGAUGCUUCUGCUGGGGGCGGGGGGGGGCCCUGCAGACGUGUCAGCCCCCAGGGCUGGUGAUAAGGAGGUGCACACAGCGGUAAUGGUUGCUUUGUUAGAGACUGGCAGGAGCAGACGGAGCAGAUCCCGUCUCCAAAGUCAGCUAGCCACGGACGAAGUCUCCCUGCCCUGUUUGGGUCCCUGUUGGCACCCAGGUGUCUACAGAGACCCACCACCUCUUUCCUGCCACUUGUUCUGAAAAACGCCCUGUUACAAGGCAUGGUGGUGGUGGUGGUGGUGGUGGUGGUGGUUGGGAACCUUCUCGGCUUACCAGUCCCCUGAACAAUCUCACUCUCUCUGCUUCACACCUGCCCCCUACGUUACUGCCUCUCACGGGGCAGGCAGAGCAGCUCCGGCUCAGACACACUGUCCAGGCCCUUCCCGCUGACGACUGACUCUUCCAGGAGAGCUGCCUUUCCCACUCCGUGGGAUUAAAGAGAGCGUGCAGGCUUCCAGCUCCCAGCGAAAGUACCGGCGCGACCUCUUGAUUUCGGACUACGUUCCUGAAGCUAGGGAUAUUUGAACACUUCAAAUUGGGGGCAGCCACAACGUCUCUCCUAACAAGGGAGAAAGGAAUGCAGAGGCCUAGCGAACCUUCUCCUAUGUCCCAGUGCCCACGGGAAUCGUGUCAGGAUGCAGGUUCCCAGCCAGGAGGGCUGGGCCAGGCCUGAGACUGCUGCCGCUGGAUCCACCUGUCUGCCUGAGAAGAGGAAUGCCACGCCUCCCCUAAGAAGAGCGGGGUUCUCCCUGAGUGGCUCAUACCCAGGACUUGAACUUGACCAGAAAGCUAUUAGAGCCUGCGUCAUUGCUAAUUGGAAGGAGAUAUGGAGGAGAGAUGAAAACAAGCGGCAGAGGGAGUAAUUGAUGGAGUGAAGAGGGAAUGAAUUGGAGACACCAUCAUCGCGGGACACGUGUUGCCAUGGGGCGGCGUCUUCAGAAUUCUGGUUCUCAGAGUUUUACAGUUUCCUAUUCUUAUACUUUGGGGAAAAAUUGUGAAAGUAAUAUGAAGUUCCAGUUAGUUGAAGUGAAAAAUGAUCUUUCUCCAUUUAAUUAAUUAAAAUAGUUAAUUUCUAAA